UUGACAUAACCCUGUAUGUAUUGUAGGAACAACCCAGGACGGGCAUUUCUCAGCACCCAGUCAACUGCCAGAAGUGACUCAAACACAGGCCACCAGUGGCACUCGGCUGUACCACUGCAGUGCUGCGGAAAUUGCCAGCACCAGCGGCUUUGCAACAGCUGUUUCACAGCAUGUCGGAGACAAUGCCUACGAAAUUAUUCGCCCUGAUGACGAGAGCCCUCAAGGGGCAAACGACAUCUCUGUUGCAGAAGUGAG